AGCAGCCGCGGUAAUUCCAGCUCCAAUAGCGUAUAUUAAAGUUGUUGCAGUUAAAAAGCUCGUAGUUGAAUUUCGAGACCGGCUUACUGGUCGUGCUAUUGUGCGUACUGGUAUAAUCGGUUUCUCCUUUCUGACGAACUAUAAUGCCAUUAAUUUGGUGUUAUAGGGAAUCAGGACUGUUACUUUGAAAAGAUUAGAGUGUUUAAAGCAGGUUCACUCUUGAAUACAUUAGCAUGGAAUAACGGAAUAGGACGUUUGAUUCUAUUUUGUUGGUUUCUAGGAUCGACGUAAUGAUUAAUAGGGAUAGUUGGGGGCAUUAGUAUUCAAUUGUCAGAGGUGAAAUUCUUGGAUUUAUUGAAGACUAACUACUGCGAAAGCAUUUGCCAAGGAUGUUUUCAUUAAUCAAGAACGAAAGUUAGGGGAUCGAAGACGAUCAGAUACCGUCGUAGUCUUAACCAUA
rnacentral:rRNA from 1 species